rnacentral:tRNA from 1 species
AAAGGGAGACCUAAUUCAGGUAGGAGACGAAAAAAAAGUAGUCGCUACCAAGAAUCAAUCCCAAAAGGUCGGAGCGAGGCGAAAUUGGCUUUCAAACUAGGUUCUGGGUUCAAACAAGACCUGAAUCAGGAACAAGGGCUAUUAGCUCAGGUGGUUAGAGCGCGCCCCUGAUAAGGGUGAGGUCCCUGGUUCGAGUCCAGGAUGGCCCACCUGCACAGGUGGCAAAAACAAGAGAAGCGAGGAAUCAGCACCUUAUCUUACUGACAUAGCAAGAGAGAAUGCUGGCUCUGAGUAAAGAGUCCAGAGGAACCUUGAAAACUGCAUAGAGCUAGGUGAAAAAGCCAAAAAAGAAGACCGCAAG